GAUGAACGCUGGCGGCGUGCCUAACACAUGCAAGUCGAGCGGAGAAUUGUUGCUUGCAGCAAUUCUUAGCGGCGGACGGGUGAGUAACACGUGGGUAACCUGCCCUAAACAAAGGGAUAACAAUGAGAAAUCAUUGCUAAUACCGUAUAAGCUUACACUAUCGCAUGAUAGAGUAAGAAAAGAUUUAUCGGUUUAGGAGGGGCCCGCGUCUGAUUAGCUAGUUGGAGAGGUAACGGCUCACCAAGGCGACGAUCAGUAGCCGACCUGAGAGGGUGAUCGGACACAGGGGGACUGAGACACGGCCCAAACUCCCACGGGAGGCAGCAGUGGGGAAUAUUGCACAAUGGAGGAAACUCUGAUGCAGCAACGCCGCGUGAAGGAAGAAGGUUUUCGGAUCGUAAACUUCUAUCUACAGGGAAGAAAAAAAUGACGGUACCUGAGUAAGAAGCCCCGGCUAACUACGUG
rnacentral:rRNA from 1 species